rnacentral:rRNA from 1 species
GAUUAGAUACCCUAUUAUUUUAAGAUAUACACAGGUAAUAUUAGAUUUAUGUUCUUCAAACCUAAAGAAUAUGGCGGUGUUUAAUUAUAAUUAGAGGAACCUGUUUAUUAAUCGAUAAUCCACGAAAAUCUUACUUAAAUUAAAAGUUUGUAUACCAUCGUUUGAAAUAAUAUUUAAAAAUUCUAUUUCUACAUAUACAUAAAUAAAAUGUCAGAUCAUGGUGCAGCAAUAUUUAAGAUUAAAUUGGUUACAUUCUAUAAUCUAUCGACGUUAUCUGAAUUUAAAAAUCACAAAAGCAGAAUUUAAAUGUAAUAAUAAACUAUAAUUUUAUAAUGAAUAUUUACAAAACAUGCACAUAUCGCCCGUC